GACGAACGCUGGCGGCGUGCCUAAUACAUGCAAGUAGAACGCACAGUUUAUACCGUAGCUUGCUACACCAUAGACUGUGAGUUGCGAACGGGUGAGUAACGCGUAGGUAACCUGCCUGGUAGCGGGGGAUAACUAUUGGAAACGAUAGCUAAUACCGCAUAAUAUUAAUUAUUGCAUGAUAAUUAAUUGAAAGGUGCAAUUGCACCACUACCAGAUGGACCUGCGUUGUAUUAGCUAGUAGGUGAGGUAACGGCUCACCUAGGCGACGAUACAUAGCCGACCUGAGAGGGUGAUCGGCCACACUGGGACUGAGACACGGCCCAGACUCCUACGGGAGGCAGCAGUAGGGAAUCUUCGGCAAUGGACGAAAGUCUGACCGAGCAACGCCGCGUGAGUGAAGAAGGUUUUCGGAUCGUAAAGCUCUGUUGUAAGAGAAGAACGGGUGUGAGAGUGGAAAGUUCACACUGUGACGGUAUCUUACCAGAAGGGGACGGCUAACUACGUG
rnacentral:rRNA from 1 species